AGAAGAGGAAGAUAGCAGGUCAUUCAUGAGACAGCCUUGAGAAAAUUGCUGCAAAAUGAAUUGUGCAGCCUAUUUAUUUUAUACAAAAAAAAAAAAAAAAAAGAAGAAGAAGAAAGAAGCAUAAAAAUACUUAGAAAAAAGAGGAGACUGGAGUAAUUUCAGUGAUGUUCUGUACUGGACCUAACAGCAGGGUGAUGGCAGCCCAGCCUCCCAACAUAAAGGAGAUCCAAUCUGAAAUCCUAGCUGGAUUGAAGGACAAGCAUGCCAGAUGCAAGUAUGCAUACUUUGGGCUGACAGCAGUAAAGAUAAUGGCCUUG
rnacentral:lncRNA from 1 species